GACGAACGCUGGCGGCGUGCUUAACACAUGCAAGUCGAACGGAAAGGCCCUGCUUUUGUGGGGUGCUCGAGUGGCGAACGGGUGAGUAACACGUGAGUAACCUGCCCUUGACUUUGGGAUAACUUCAGGAAACUGGGGCUAAUACCGGAUAGGAGCUCCUGCUGCAUGGUGGGGGUUGGAAAGUUUCGGCGGUUGGGGAUGGACUCGCGGCUUAUCAGCUUGUUGGUGGGGUAGUGGCUUACCAAGGCUUUGACGGGUAGCCGGCCUGAGAGGUUGACCGGCCACAUUGGGACUGAGAUACGGCCCAGACUCCUACGGGAGGCAGUAGUGGGGAAUAUUGCACAAUGGGCGGAAGCCUGAGGCAGCAACGCCGCGUGCGGGAUGACGGCCUUCGGGUGGUAAACCGCUGUCGCCUGUGACGAAGCGUGAGUGACGGUAAUGGGUAAAGAAGCACCGGCUAACUACGUG
rnacentral:rRNA from 1 species